UGCCAGGAACCAUGCGAGGAGACGCCGCCUAACCCUGCCAGGACCGGAAGGAAGCAACAGUAAGCGGAAGUUUUCUGCGCCGUGGCAUACCUGGCGGGG
rnacentral:SRP_RNA from 1 species